rnacentral:lncRNA from 1 species
CUCCAAGAGAGGGAGCUGAGUGGUUGCUGGGAGUGAGGGAAGGGGGAGGGUGGCCACAAGGGAGAGCCCAGGGGACAUUUAGGGGAUGAUGGAGAAAAUGUUUUGUUUCCUAAUUGAACGUGGCAGUGGUUACAUGAAUUUAUACAUGUUUUAAAAUUCACAGAAAUGUGCUCCCAAAAAAGGUCCAUUUUACUGUAUGUUAAUUAAAAAAAAAAAAGAGGUGGAAUCAGCCAGCCAAGUGCCCAGAAGACAGAGGGCUAACUCGUCGGUCACUUUGCCACGGGUGAGUCAUCUGCUCUGAGUCAUGCCUGGCUGAGACGGAAAGGCCAGGAGGAUGCCUCCAAACACACCUGGCUUACGAAAGGACAUCACCAGGGACACGGUCGGUGCCCAGGCACACGCUUUCCUAAGUAGACUAAAAAUUAAAAGAAAAAAAUCCCCU